AGAAACCUUUAUGAUGACUGUUUCUAAAGAUAUUGUUUAAAGAUUCAGUUGAUCAUAUUUCAAUAACCUCUUGACUAUCUCUGCUCUCUUAUAGAACGUUUCUUAGUUUAAUUUUUAAGAAAACAGAAAGUGGCAUAAUCUCUUACAUUAAAUAAUAUUUGAUGAUUAUGGCAUUCAAAAUUUGUAUAUUUUUUAUUUUAUUUUUUGAACCGUGCGAAAUGUUGUUAAAAAAUAUUUUGAGGUACACACUAUAUAAAAAUUGAAAACAAAAAUGAUUGAUGUUUGUUAACGCUCCUAGGCCAAAAUGGGACACGAUGCUAAGAGAGUUUCUUAUUCUCAGCGCAACUUUGGACGAUCACAUUGCAUCCCGACAACCCAUCAUCAUCAUUCUGCCAAGAGUUGCAUUACGUAUAUUCUUCACUGACGUAUGUGCAAAAUGCAGUCAUACGAAUCAAUGCGAUCAUAGAACUCAUCCCUGGCGACUUAGAUCUAUCUUAUUUUGAUUCCAGAAAUCUGAAGAACGAAUUGAUUUUUUUUUUAAAUAAUCCAACCGUCUUGUUUUCUUGGAAAAGUAAGCACUACAGAACUUCUCACUGGAAGUUUUAAUUAAACUUUGGAUAUAAUUUUAUCAAUAGUAGAUUUUUGUAGAUACACAGUAAAUAUCACGUUUUCCUUUUUUUUUUUUUUUUUUUUGUUAAGUCGAUGUUGAUCACCGUGGUGACAGAUACUUGUUGUUACAGUACUUUUCUAAGAACUUCUCACUCUAGUUGCUACUAAUGGAAAUGACUAACGGAAAGUUUCCGGAAAUCUUUAUUCGAUGAUUUAUUUCUAAUAGACUUAGUUUAUCCGAAUUGCCAUCCAUGCUUAAUCUUGCACAUUACUGAAUAAUGCGUAAUAUUUUGAUACUUGAAUCUCAUUUUCGCUUGUUUUUGAAGGAUUUAAUCAUCCGAUUUUCUUUAUUCUGCUAGUUAUUUUGGAUAUUUCAAAAUACCUACGUUAAUUAAAUGAAUUAAAACGGAAAUUUGUACUUGUUUUUUAG
rnacentral:lncRNA from 1 species